rnacentral:miRNA from 8 species
CACCUAUGCUGUUAGCAUUAAUC